GAAUUCUGGGUGAGGAAAAGAGAUGGAGGGGAUAGUGUCAGUGUCUGUUCUUCAGAAGUCAGCAGGAAUGUAGGGAGGCAGGGGAGGGAAAAGCCCAGGACAGGAUUCCACACCCCAAGUUUGAGCAGUUCUGAUUCCAAAGACCCCUUAGCACCCCAUCUUCCUGAGGUCAGCUGCAGCAUUGGAAGCAAGGCAGGCAAGAGGAUGAGAGGCAGCUAAUGUACCCAGAGUACCCAGCUUCCAUCCUGACCUCCCUGGAGGUGGCAUCAGUCCUGUUCUAUCCCAUCAUGGCACAGAGGCACAUCUGCAUGUACCCAACUGUGAGUCCCUCACUGUCACCAUCCUCCAAGGUUGUUUUGCUGUUCAUUUCUAUUCAGUGCAGGGGAAGACUAGACUAGGGAGGUUAACUUACCCAAGGCCACUCAACCAAUUAGAAAUCAUGUUUUUUUUUUUUUUUCAUAUAAACACAUGUAGAAGUAACUGACUGUCCCAACACCAGGAGCCUAGUAGGUAUUCCAGACUAAUUUAUUUUGCCUUCAAGACAAAUGGAAAACGGGUUCCCAAGUUUUGGCUCAGUUGAGGCCCUGUGAGUGCCAAUGUGCUGCAAAUGAAUGCUGUGACUUUUUGGCUGUGAUCUGGCUCUGCAGGACAAGGCCUGGAAGGUGGAUGAGUGAAUGUGAGGCCAGACCAGGCCAGAGAGAGGCCAAGAGGUCCCAGGGCAGGACACAGGGAGACGGUUUCCAGCACCACCACAGGGUGGCACCGCAGACCAUGACUGGAUUCGGUAAAGAGCUGGGGUGUAGACAUAGGGGCAAGUCAGGAAGGCUGCUGUCCAGUCCUCUUCCCAGUCUGGCCCAGGACGGCCAAGACCAAGGUACCGGGUCUGUCUGGGUCCAUGUGUCUGCUCCUGGGAGCCUGCUGCAGCCAGCUCAUUCCCUGAUUCAUUAUCACUCCAUCGGAAUCACAUGCCUCCCAUGGGCCCCAUGUGAGUGUGUGGGGUGCUAUUGGCAAGCAGGCAGGAGCAGGGCGGAGGUUCUGGAUGGGGGAAGAGGCUUUCUCGUUGCUGGAAGGGCCUACUGAAAACACAGGGGCCCCAAAAGGGGAUGGGGUGGGGGACACUUGCCUGAGGUCACAUGGUUGAGCUGUGGCUGCCCAGAAGUUCUUAAAAGCCUGGAGCUGGCAGAAAGAAGCACAAGCCCGAAGGAGGAUUUGGGUCCCUCCUUGCCACCACUGUGUCCUCUGUGCAGGUCACAGAGUGCAGGUCCAUAAGUGUUUACUGAUAACUGUUUUGAAUGCCUAUUUUGCAACCCUCUCUGAGAGCUCAGCAUGGUUUACUGGGUCCCAUCUGUUCAUUGUCCUUAGAAAGGAAGUACCUUGCUUAUCUGUAUUCUCAGCCUGCCUCUCCAACUCCAGUAUCAGAUACAGUCCUCUACAUCUGCCUCUGUGUCUUUCUUUGCUUGGUUGGUUUCAAACAAGGUCUCAUUAGCCCAGCUUAGCUUCAAACUUGAGAUCUUCCUAUCUUAGCCUCCCGACCGCUGAGGUUCCGAGCCACCACUCCUGGCCCAUCUUCACCUGUCUACUUCCUUAUUCAGUUAGCAUGUAUACCCCAACUAUUUUUCUCUCUAGUCAUAGCAUUGCUACGGAGCCAGAUGACAUACCUGGGGUCACUGCAGCAAGCAGACGUGGAGAGAGAGGACAGUGAAGUGCUCAGGGGUAUAGGAGAAUGAGAACACUGAGGCAUGAACUUCACAAAGGUUUCUUGGAGGCUAGACUUUGCCCAGCCUUGAAGGAUGAUGGUGUGGGCUCAGAGAGGCCAAGGUAGUAAUGGAGGCGUCUCGUUGGGAGGACUAGCCUGCCUUUCUGAACUGCUCCCCUCGCCUUCUGGGAUGAGGAGCCCCGGGUCCUUGGCUUUUCCUUUCAAUGCUCUGUAACCACCUGCGCUGUUGCACCAGUUGUCCCUGUGGAGGCUUUAUCUUUGGACCUACGGGCCUCCCUGUCUCUGCUAAGGACAAAGCUCAUCUCCAUUCCGUGACUUCACUGUGACCCUCUAGCUUCUCAAGUCACUUCAAGUACAAAGCUCCCACUCAGCUGCAGAACUGUAUCUCUGAAGGUCUCUGGGAAAGUGUUCCAAACUGCACCUCCUGGAACCUUGGGGCAUUACUCAGAGCUCAGCGAAAACAGCUGGACACUUUGGGAAACAUUGGCUUAGAUGACAGACUAGAGCCCUUCACCUUCCCCCAUACCCUAGAAUAUGACAGACAUACACAGGAUGGAAACUUUCCCAGUUUCCAGAAGACUGACCCCAUCUUCCUACCCACAGGGCCAUCCCGAGGAACUAACAGUUGGGUUAUAGAGUCAAGAAACCUCUGGGAUCACCAACUCAAAUUCCCACCUGUUCCAACAUGGCUGUCUGUCCCUUCUCAUUCUCUUCAUUCACCAGGCUUCUCCUGGCCUUCCACUGCCACCACCAUUUGUCCAUUCUGACUCUUCUAAUAUCUCAUCGUUCCUCUCUUGGUUUUGCUGUGGUACAACAUUCUUGGGCCUCUCACCUUUACUGUGUCUCUACCCUCUUGGAUGCCCUACUCAGUCGGCAGAUUAAUCCUCACAUGACCACUCUAUCUCAAAGACCAGCAGUAAGUCCCCAUUGCCUGCUGGGACUUAGAACCUGGCCUGCCACACUCUACCAUGCACCUUCGUCGCUGACUGCUGUGAUGUGGAUAGCUGUCCCCACCAAAGGCCCCAGUGCUGAAGGGUUGGUUGCUAGCCUAUGGCCCUACUGGGAGGUGUGGAACCUUUAGAGCUGGAGUCUAGCGGGAGGAAGUUCAGUCACUGGGGGUGUAUCCAUGAAAGGGCUAUGGUGACCCUGUCUCUUGUCUGCUUGCUGGCUUCCACAGGGUGAAUGACUCAUUCUACAGUCACAUUCUUUCUGUGAUAUACUGUCUCAUCCUAGGCCCUAAAGCAACAGGCCAAUCAGUCAUGGACUGCAACUUUUGGAACUGUGAGCUAGAAUGAACUCCCCUCCCCCACCUGCCUCUCCGCACCCCCUGACAAGUAUUUCACUAUGUAUCCCUAGCUGUCCUGGAACUCACUGGCCUUGAACCCAUAGAGAUCUGCCUACCUGCCUCUGGCUCCCGAGUGCCGGGAUUAAAGGCAUGCAAACCUUUCCUCUUUUUAAAUUGAUUAUCUCAGGUAUUUUAUGACAGGUACCAGAAAGUUGAUUAAUACAUUAUGCUUGCUAUCUAGUGGGCUCUGGUUUGCGGGUGUGUAUGUGGAACUAAGGUUUUAACAAAGAGCCUGGGACACGCUAGUACUCUUCCACCAGGCUGUACUCUUAACCAUUUUUUACUUCAUAUUUUGAGAUAUGGUCUUGGUAAGUUUCUCAGGUUGUCCUUGAACCUGCGAACCAGCUUCCCAAGUAGCUGGGAAUAGAGAACCAGCCUCAAGUGAGUCCCUAACUACAAACAAGCCUUUGCUUACACCCCAUGCCCUGCUGCAAUGCCUCCCUCGUGCUUCGUUUCUGUAGCUCACGUUUAACUUUUCCCUGUAGACUUCACAUGGACCGAUGGCUUGCAUCCUAGGCUGUAUUUUAAACAAGGUCAGACCCAAGUCUAUUAAUUACAAGUUCUUUGCUAAUAAGCGCCUGUUAAGAUUAACCACACAGUUGGUUCUCCUUUCAGUCAGAAUAAGGAAAGAGCUGGGCGAAGCGGCCGCUCGUCCUCUGGCGCUGACUCACUGCAGCAUGGUGGCUGUGCAGAACAUAAGUUCCACCGUCGUCACCUUCCUGCUUUCCGAGCAAAGAGCCCAUGAAAAAUACCGUGGUCUUACAUUUAAACUCAGCUAGAUUGGAUUUUCUGACCCCACUAAUCAGAGGAUGACAGGGUUUGCUGUAUCAUCUGUCUGAUGAGAAUGGUCGGUGUCCCAAACUACUCUGUAAAUUAUAUUUCGAAAUAAA